AUGCGAUGCCAGCAUCCCCUGCACCGUGUUCCACAGCUCUGCUGCAGUGUGGCACGUCGCAACCUGGAUGGCCAUCUCGCGAGGCAGUGUGGUCAGCAGGUAGGAGAACACCUGCUGAUCCCGCACGUACCACGCAUCGAACUCUGGAUUGGGAGCCUUGGACUUGGUCUUACCGUCGCUGCUGGCGACCUCAAUGUCCAUCGGGGGCACCACCUGCUCGACGUCGAGGAUGGACGCCAUCUGCGCCCCUCGGAUGGCCGAGAGCACGGUGCGCGCCAUAGCGCCUCGUUCCCUCUCGUGAGCUUCUCUGUUGCGGUGUGUGCAAACGGAGAUGAGGGGAAGGAGUUCGCCGAAGAGCUUGCCAUGGAUGAAUUUGAGGUAGGCUCUGAUUACCAUGAAAGAAGGAAAGGGUUUAAGCGUAUGCACCUUGACAGGGACGCGUGCAUGUUAAUAUAUAGAGAUAGAUUACAGGGAUCGACAGGUUGUUUCUAG
rnacentral:rRNA from 1 species